rnacentral:rRNA from 2 species
UACAGAGGGUGCGAGCGUUAAUCGGAAUUACUGGGCGUAAAGCGUGCGUAGACGGUUAUUUAAGUCGGAUGUGAAAGCCCCGGGCUCAACCUGGGAAUUGCAUUCGAGACUGAAUAGCUAGGGUACGGUAGAGGGAAGUGGAAUUUCCGGUGUAGCGGUGAAAUGCGUAGAUAUCGGAAGGAACAUCAGUGGCGAAAGCGACUUCCUGGACCAGUACCGACGUUCAGGCACGAAAGCGUGGGGAGCAAACAGG